rnacentral:rRNA from 1 species
GAUGAACGCUGGCGGCGUGCCUAAUACAUGCAAGUCGAGCGAACAGAUAAGGAGCUUGCUCCUUUGACGUUAGCGGCGGACGGGUGAGUAACACGUGGGUAACCUACCUAUAAGACUGGAAUAACUCCGGGAAACCGGGGCUAAUGCCGGAUAACAUUUAGAACCGCAUGGUUCUAAAGUGAAAGAUGGUUUUGCUAUCACUUAUAGAUGGACCCGCGCCGUAUUAGCUAGUUGGUAAGGUAACGGCUUACCAAGGCAACGAUACGUAGCCGACCUGAGAGGGGGAGAGGAAGCAGUAGAAAUGAGACAAGGACGAGAGAAAGAAGGGAGGAAGAAGGAGGGAGUGGUGAGCAAUGGGAGAAAGUAGGAAGGAGCAAAGAAGAGUGAAGGAUGAAGGUAUAGGGAUCGGAAAAAGCAGUGAGGAGAGAAGAACAAAGAGCGAAGUAAAAAUGCACGGCGUGAGGGGAAAUAAUAAGAGAGAAACGGAGAAAUAAGUG